rnacentral:rRNA from 1 species
AGCGAACGCUGGCGGCAGGCCUAACACAUGCAAGUCGAACGGGCUCUUCGGAGCUAGUGGCGGACGGGGGAGUAACACGUGGGAACGUGCCUUUAGGUUCGGAAUAAGCCCGGGAAACUGGGUCUAAUACCGAAUGUGCCCUUCGGGGGAAAGAUUUAUCGCCUUUAGAGCGGACCGCGUCUGAUUAGCUUGUUGGUGAGGGAAUGGCUCACCAAGGCGACGAUCAGUAGCUGAUCUGUGAGGAUGACCAGCCACAUUGGGACUGAGACACGGCCCAAACUCCUACGGGAGGCAGCAGUGGGGAAUCUUGCGCAAUGGGGGAAAGCCUGACGCAGCCAUGCCGCGUGGAUGAUGAAGGUCUUAGGAUUGUAAAAUCCUUUCACCGGUGAAGAUAAUGACUGUAGCCGGAGAAGAAGCCCCGGCUAACUUCGUGCCAGCCGCCGCCGUAAUAC